rnacentral:rRNA from 1 species
UACAGAGGUCUCAAGCGUUGUUCGGAUUCAUUGGGCGUAAAGGGCGCGUAGGCGGCGCGGUAAGUCGGGUGUGAAAUCUUGGAGCUUAACUCCGAAACUGCAUUCGAUACUGCCGUGCUUGAGGACUGGAGAGGAGACUGGAAUUUACGGUGUAGCGGUGAAAUGCGUAGAUAUCGUAAGGAAGACCAGUGGCGAAGGCGGGUCUCUGGACAGUUCCUGACGCUGAGGCACGAAGGCCAGGGGGAGCAAACGGG